rnacentral:rRNA from 1 species
GACGAACGCUGGCGGCGUGCUUAACACAUGCAAGUCGAACGCUGAAGCUCAGCUUUUGUUGGGUGGAUGAGUGGCGAACGGGUGAGUAACACGUGAGUAACCUGCCCCCUUCUUUGGGAUAACGCCCGGAAACGGGUGCUAAUACUGGAUAUUCACUGGUCUUCGCAUGGGGGUUUGUGGAAAGGGUUUUUCUGGUGGGGGAUGGGCUCACGGCCUAUCAGCUUGUUGGUGGGGUGAUGGCCUACCAAGGCUUUGACGGGUAGCCGGCCUGAGAGGGUGACCGGUCACAUUGGGACUGAGAUACGGCCCAGACUCCUACGGGAGGCAGCAGUGGGGAAUAUUGCACAAUGGGCGCAAGCCUGAUGCAGCGACGCCGCGUGAGGGAUGGAGGCCUUCGGGUUGUGAACCUCUUUCGCUCAUGGUCAAGCCGCAACAAUGGUUGUGGUGAGGGUAGUGGGUAAAGAAGCGCCGGCUAACUACGUG